UACAGAGGGUGCAAGCGUUGUUCGGAAUCAUUGGGCGUAAAGCGUGCGUAGGCGGCCAUUCAAGUCGAAUGUGAAAUCCCUGAGCUCAACUUAGGAAGUGCAUUCGAAACUGAUUGGCUUGAAUCCUGGAGAGGGUGGUGGAAUUCCCAGUGUAGAGGUGAAAUUCGUAGAUAUUGGGAGGAACAUCAGAGGCGAAGGCGACCACCUGGACGGAGAUUGACGCUGAGGCACGAAAGCGUGGGGAGCAAACAGGAUUAGAUACCCCUGUAGU
rnacentral:rRNA from 1 species